rnacentral:rRNA from 1 species
UACGUAGGGUCCGAGCGUUGUCCGGAAUUAUUGGGCGUAAAGCGCGCGCAGGCGGCCUUUUAAGUCUGAUGUGAAAUCUUGCGGCUCAACCGCAAGCGGCCAUUGGAAACUGGGAGGCUUGAGUACAGAAGAGGAGAGUGGAAUUCCACGUGUAGCGGUGAAAUGCGUAGAUAUGUGGAGGAACACCAGUGGCGAAGGCGACUCUCUGGUCUGUAACUGACGCUGAGGCGCGAAAGCGUGGGGAGCAAACAGG